AUGAGGAUUUAACCUCUGGUCAUUAGGUCCUGCCUGCUACCUUUGUUUCAGGUUAGCUCAAUCCCAGGCCUAACCAGCGUUUUCCUGGAGCCCACCCCAGGGCCAGGCCCUCUCAGCUAGAACAUCUCUCUCAGCCUUACCUCCCGGGUGGAGCUCUCCACAAAUGGCCCCCCAAACAUGGCAGCCAUCCAGUCACAGCUGGAAAUCAACAGGGGCUUGUGGGCGCUGAUGGUGCCAUCAUCCAGGAUGAAGGUCACAUCUGUCCAGAAGAAGCAUCACAGGAGGACUGGUGAAAGAAGCUGGGAGAACAAGCCCCAAGGGGAGCCACGGAGCCUCCUCCUGAACCCAGAAGAUUCGGGGCACGGAACAAACCCGCUCCCAGCUGGGGAAAACCAGGCUUCAAGAGCAUGGCAGCCGCAGCUCCAGGACACCAGGAGCUGAGACAGACAGGCAAUGCUAAUAGCACCAAUGCAGAACCCCCUUGCUUUCCAAGCCUGUUCCAUACCUGAGAAGGUGCCUUUUGCCAAGCACUCCUUAACCCGGUUGGUCCGGCGGACGUGGAAGGCCUUGGUGAUCUCCUGGUUCAUGAAGGCCUCAUUGUUGAGAAUGUUGGCCACCAUCAUGCGCAGAUCAAAGACCUCGAGCAGCUCAGCAAUGUGGGCAAUGUGCAUGAGGUCACGCUCGUUCUCAUCUAGCUCCCCCGUGUACAGGUACUUGAGGACAGCCCGGAAGGGCCCCGGCUGGAUGGAACUGUCCAUCUUCACCACCACCAUCAGCCGGGAUUUGUAGGUGAGAGGAUCUUCUGCCAUCUCUUCCUGGAUGCUCACAAAAGCUCGGCUCCAGGAAGACAGCACACGACCCCUGCCCGGCGGCUAGAGGCCUUCCCUACCUCCCAUAAGCAAAGCGACGGUCUUUGUGGUGGUCUCCAAAGGUGUCCCAGAGGCGCAGAGAGACGCUGACAUCAUCUACCACGUCUCGGGAGCGUUCCAGCACCUGGGGACGGGGAGGAAGAGUGGGACUCGAAGGCAGCAGUUUUGGGGACCUCUGCGUGCCACCUCAGGAUAAGCGCCGGCUGACACCUGGGGGCCCCAGACAUCACUGGGCAUGGAGGGACAAGGCUGGCAUCGCCCACUGUGCACCCUGCACAACUUUCAUCCACGUAAAAUCUCUGUAGAAUCUAUAACAAGGGUGGCCUCCAAGCUGACCAGGAGUGGAAGAGACCCUAAGCAGGUGGAAGAGACACUAAGAGGGUAGCAGAGACCCUAAGGGGGUGGAAGAGACCCUAAGGGACUGCUAUGGGUGUGGAAGGGGCCUCUUUGGGAGCUGACCCUUGUUCCUGGCUUUCCUUGCAAACUGCAUGUUUGUGAGCCUCUGGUCUUUUGCUAUCAGCUGCCAGCUUCUUUGCUCCUCUCAGCUUGUAUCUCUUCCAAGCCCCAGCCCUCCAGUGCUCCCCAUUACUUAAGGCUGUGACUACAUACAAUGCGGUACCCCAGACAAAGAUGGAGUCCCAGGCACCAGCUCAGUCCCUGAAAACACAACCAGCCAGAGACACUUCCCUGGGGCAGACUUGGCUUAAACCUCUCUCCAGGGGCUCCUUCCUCUUCAGCUGCCCCCAACCCAUCCUGUCCCACCCCUAGAGGGCUCCCGUGAGCUCUGGAGACACCAAGCUAUGCCUCAGGAAGCCCCCAAGCCCAGACUCAUGGCGUGGACCCCCAGCCAGGUAGUCCUGCAGCCUUACCUCCUGGCACACACGAUAUUGGUCGAUGGCCCAUACUGUGGGCACAUGCGUGGCCAGCAGCUGGUACUGGGUGAGGGUGGCAUUGCAAGCGCGGGCACAGAUGAGCCUGGUCUUACCCACGGCGUUGUCCCCCACCACAACGCACUUGAUGGUCUCUACGUUUGGCCUUUCAUAAUCCAUGUCAGAAUCCAUUAAACGGGACCUGAGGGAGAGGAGGGAGGCGGUCAGGACGGCAUGGCAUGCCAGCUCGCCGUGGGCCAGGGCCAGCACCCGCAGCUCUCCUCAGCCAGGCUGCCCCCUCUGCAAGCCCCGGAGCUGACAGGAGGAGGAAGGAGUGGGCAACGUUCUGGGCAAGAGCUCUGCGAGGGUCCAAGGGGCCAGGAGCCCAUUCAGGCUGAGAGGAGCAGUGUCACCAGAUGGGCCACCUGUCCCCUUCCUGCUCCCACGAUCCUCCAGCUGUGCGUCUGGAUGAAGGAGACCUACGCGAGAUCACCAGUGGAGCUUGCCGAGGCCCUGCCCUGUCCCCUCUCCAGAGAGGGCAGCUCACUCAUCUGCUCUCCUCCUCCUUCCCCGGCAGAGCAGUGGCAGCAGAACAACAAACAGCUGAGAGAAGCAGAGUCGGCCACGUCCCCACCCCUUCCCAGCAUGCCUGAGGGCAGGGCACUUUAAAAUUUAAUGGACUUGUCAGAACUGGGCAGCAGCUCUCCUGGCCUCCACUCUUUCCCUUGCCCUCUCUGGUGGUGGUGGAUUUCCAAGCCCUAGCCUGCCUAAGUGCAUGCUUCAACCCCAGACCCCAGUCCCCUUUAUGGAGAUGCAAGAGUUUUUCCUCCCAGCCUCUCUAGGAUGGGGAGGUUCCUGGAUGCACCUGACCAGCCCAGGGGCCUCCCUUUCUCUAUUCGGGGUCUGUCCUGUUGCCCAUGUGUCAUGCUCAGCUACAGGUCCAGCUUUCAGAUGCGGGUGAGGGGAACCACAGGCCUAUGAUGAUACAGUCAGUGGCCAAUGGGCCUCUACUUCCCCUACGGGGGGCUGUCCUCCCAGCACCCUGCCCCCAGCGUCAGAGAGUGAGAUCCACCUCCACCCUCUUCUGCCCUUCCCAUUCCUAGGGAGGAUGAUCCUCAGGCUGAAGAUCCCAGGCAGCUGGCACUCCUAGGUGAUGUUCACUAAACUGGCUACAUGGGCGAUGGGAUUGCCAGAAAGCAAAAGAUCAGAAAUUUGAGCCUGAAUUUCUGGGCAAAUGCUUGCCUCAGUUGCCUUCGAUGUUGAGCAGAGAGGAAGUGGCUUGUCCACCCCCAGAGAGGGAUGGCUUGAAUGAACAAACAGAAGGCACUUCUGUAGUCAGAUGUCAUGUUCGUGUUUAAAAAUCUGUCGCCAGGAGGCCCUGGCCUCGGCAUCCACCCUCCUGGGAUUAGGGAGCAGGGGCAGGGCCAGCGUGAUUAGGACGCUUGGUUUCGCCAGCGUCAUCUGCCCGCCCCACUCACAUUCCUGUGUGUAUGAAAGUCGUCUGGGGGGGCUUUAGCAGCCCGGAGUCAUCCCUCCUAGGCUAAGGAAGGCUGAGCUCUGAGUGCUGGAGGCUGCCCAGGCACCCUGGCUGCUGAGCCAUCCAGCCCAGAGCCAGGCCACCAGCAACAACAGGGAGGCUCCAUUCCUGCUGGGCUGUAACUGGAUGCCAGCAUGCAGGGAUGCAGACCGAAAUAUCCAAGUAACGAUAGCAACUGGGAUCCGUGCGAGUGGAUGCAUCUCAGCAACCUAAGCAAAAAGUGCAGCAAGGACUUCUCAAUGAGACAACCUCCUCCGCCUUUUUGGAAUGUUACAGGAUCUGGACCCUUCAACGAGGUCUCCAUGCAGUGCCCUCAUGGUCUCCAGGGCAACUGUACCACCCCUUCUCUCUCCUAACCCUCCCUCAGCAGACAACCGUUUUUUGUUUUUGUAUUUUUUUGAGACGGAGUUUUGCGCUUGACACCCAGGCUGGAGUGCAGUGGCAUGAUCUCGGCUCACUGCAGCCUCUGCCUCCUGGGUUCAAGUGAUUCUCCUGCCUCAGCCUCCCAGGUAGCUGGGAUUACAGGUGUGUGCCACUAUGCCGGCUAAUUUUGUAUUUUUAGUAGAUACGGGGUUUCGCCAUGUUGGUCAGGCUGGUCUUAAACUCCUGACCUCAAGUGAUCUGCCCGCCUUGGCCUCCCAAAGUGCUGGGAUUACAGGCGUGAGCCACCACACCUGGCCCAGAGAACUGUUAAGAACUGUUAUUCUAACCACAGGCUUCCUCCUCCCAAUUCUCUCUCCUGAACUGAGGACCGGGAACCCCACUUUGACAGUUCCUGAUCUCAAGUUGAGGAAUGUGCUGGCGCCAGGAGGCAGCAUCUGGGCUGUGGUUUCUGUUUUGUCGAGUGAAUACCAAAACAGAUAUAAUCCCAAAUACAAAAUAUGUGCAGCUGGAGGAUAAAGAUUAAAACCCAAGAGCCAAAAGAACUUCUUUCUCAAGUUCCGAUUCUCCCAGCAUGUAGGUCUGUAGACAGAAGCGGGGGAAUGAGGAGGCCUAAUGGAGGGAUGCCAGUUCUCAAAUUCAGGAGCACCUUGACAGUGAGAAUAAUGCCAGAACACCAGCAGAGCAGUGCUGGGCCAAGUUCAGCUACUUUGUGAUGAAAACACUGCUGCCCACCUGUGCUAUGUCACCUCUAGAGUUAAGCAGUGGUCAGCCAAUCAACAAGUGGAAAUUGACAAAUACUGUGCCAUGAGUUUAGACAUCAGACCUUCUGGGUUGCGCAACCCCUUCCAUCCAUUCCCCAGCCCCUUCAGCAGUCCCCUUGUCCUUCAGCUGCCUCUCUGUUUGUAUCAUCUCACCCUUUCUACCCUGUCCCAACUGCCUGACUGGCAAACUUCACUGUCCUAUCUAGGAAGAGGCAAGUCACUUAUAUUUUCUGGGCAUCAGUCUCCCCCUCUGGGAAAUGGGUAUGAAGACAUUGGAAGAGUCUCCUGAACCGUGGUUAAUUUGUGCCAAGAGAGGCUGGGCUGAAAGGAGGUAUUUGUCUUCUUAUGUAAUGUGGUAUUAUAUAAUGCUAGAUUGCAUAUCUAUAUGUGUAAUUAUAUCUGUCUUUAAGAUACAGACUGGCCCAAUUCAAGUGUUAGAACUCUUAGUCUAAUCAGGCCUGUCUUAAAGGAGGAUCCUGUCCUGGAGAGAGUGUGCCA
ensembl:lncRNA novel transcript, antisense to RHOBTB2